GAUGAACGCUGGCGGCGUGCCUAAUACAUGCAAGUCGAGCGAACGGACGAGAAGCUUGCUUCUCUGAUGUUAGCGGCGGACGGGUGAGUAACACGUGGAUAACCUACCUAUAAGACUGGGAUAACUUCGGGAAACCGGAGCUAAUACCGGAUAAUAUUUUGAACCGCAUGGUUCAAAAGUGAAAGACGGUCUUGCUGUCACUUAUAGAUGGAUCCGCGCUGCAUCAGCUAGUUGGUAAGGUAACGGCUUACCAAGGCAACGAUGCAUAGCCGACCUGAGAGGGUGAUCGGCCACACUGGAACUGAGACACGGUCCCGACUCCUACGGGGGGCAGCCGUAGGGAAUCUUCCGCGAUGGGCGAAAGCCUGACGGAGCAACGCCGCGUGAGUGAUGAAGGUCUUCGGAUCGUAAAACUCUGUUAUUAGGGAAGAACAUAUGUGUAAGUAACUGUGCACAUCUUGACGGUACCUAAUCAGAAAGCCACGGCUAACUACGUG
rnacentral:rRNA from 1 species